rnacentral:rRNA from 1 species
UAGGGAAUCUUCGGCAAUGGACGAAAGUCUGACCGAGCAACGCCGCGUGAGUGAAGAAGGUUUUCGGAUCGUAAAACUCUGUUGUUAGAGAAGAACAAGGACGUUAGUAACUGAACGUCCCCUGACGGUAUCUAACCAGAAAGCCACGGCUAACUACGUGCCAGCAGCCGCGGUAAUACGUAGGUGGCAAGCGUUGUCCGGAUUUAUUGGGCGUAAAGCGAGCGCAGGCGGUUUCUUAAGUCUGAUGUGAAAGCCCCCGGCUCAACCGGGGAGGGUCAUUGGAAACUGGGAGACUUGAGUGCAGAAGAGGAGAGUGGAAGUCCAUGUGUAGCGGUGAGAUGCGUAGAUAUAUGGAGGAACACCAGUGGCGAAGGCGGCUCUCUGGUCUGUAACUGACGCUGAGGCUCGAAAGCGUGGGGAGCAAACAGG